AGAGUAUGGGAGGGGGAGAUGGAAUUAGUGGUGUAGGGGUAAGAUCCGUAGAUAUCACUAGGAAUACCGAAAGCGAAGGCGAUCUCCUGGAACAAUACUGACGCUAAGGCGUGAGAGCGCGGGGAGCAAACGGGAUUAGAUACCCCGGUAGUCCACGCCCUAAACGAUGUUCACUAGUCGUCGGAAUGCUAGUCAUUUCGGUGAUGCACUUAACAGAUUAAGUGAACCGCCUGGGGAGUACGGUCGCAAGAUUUAAACUCAAAGGAAUAGACGGGGACCCGCACAAGCGGUGGAGCAUGUGGUUUAAUUCGACGAUACGCGAAGAACCUUACCUGGCCUUGACAUAGAAAGAAUUUAGCAGAGAUGUAAAAGUGCUAGUUUACUAGAGCUUUCAUACAGGUGCUGCACGGCUGUCGUCAGCUCGUGUCGUGAGAUGUUAGGUUAAGUCCUGCAACGAGCGCAACCCUCGUGUUUAGUUACUAACAGAUUAUGCUGAGGACUCUAGACAUACUGCCUGGGCAACCAGGAGGAAGGUGAGGACGACGUCAAGUCAUCAUGGUCCUUACGGCCAGGGCUACACACGUGCUACAAUGGGGUAUACAAAGAGCAGCGAUACCGCGAGGUGGAGCAAAUCUCAUAAAAUAUCUCCCAGUUCGGAUUACACUCUGCAACUCGAGUGUAUGAAGUUGGAAUCGCUAGUAAUCG
rnacentral:rRNA from 1 species